rnacentral:lncRNA from 1 species
GGAACACUCUCCUUCAUUUCCUCCCUUGCCUCUCUCAUUUGCGUCUCUUCAUAAUUAUUUUUCCAGAUCCCUUUCCUUUCCCAGCUCUCUCCCCAUGUCUUCUCGCACCAUAACUGAAACUUUCAUUCACAGCAAAUUCAAACUAAGCAAAACUCUCCCUUUCCCCUUGUGGGAAAAAAAUCCCAAAAAAUGUUCAUAAAGGUUUUAAUCGGUUGGAGAAGUCAGUCUUCUCGGUGUGAGGGAUUUAAAACCUAAUAAAACACUUAUCAUCGAAGUCUCUUCUCCUCACCUAUUUUUGUAAAAAUUUCGAUAAAAGAAAGAUUAUUUUUUUCGCUUUGUUUUGGUUUUCGAAUUAACAAUCGAAAAAGCAUAACACUAAAAAAAAGAGCUUUAUUUUGAUCUUGAAUGUGAUGGGUUUUUGUGUUUGUGCACUGUUAAGAGUUUGGAUUUCCGGGCUUUUGUUUGGCCUGGGUUUUUGGUUGUAAACUAUGUGUUCUCUCUGUAUGCUAUGUGUGCUCCCCUUUUUCCUUUCUUGUAUGUAGGAUCUGGUUCUGUGUUCUUUUCUGUGUUCUGGUUAUUUAAUCCUGAUUCUUCUAUUCUUUCUGCAAACAGACCACAACCCAUUUUUUCCCGAUUUGUCCUUUUUUUUUCUCUGUUUUCUUUUUUGUAUUUUCCCAAAUAAAUAAAUAAUAAAUGUGUAAUAAAUAAGAAUUAAAUCCUAUGGCAUUAGCAACCUUAAUCCUAAGCUUAAAAUACAGAGGCUCUCACAUAUGGACUCCCACUCGGACCUUGGAUCAGACCCGACUUUGGGUUAUUGGACUUUAUUAUUGGACCCCGUUGAUAUGGAAUCUUGGACCGGUUGGACUUGAAUUGUACAUUUUGGACCGUUAAAUCAAUUAACUAAUUAUCAAUUUAAAAUAAAAAAUUAAUUCCUAUUUGGAAGAUGAGUUAUUAGUUCAUUUUGUAUUAUUUAUUGUGCUUAAUCUAAAUGUGCUCUCGGUUCUAUUAAGUAAGCUUUUGGAUAUCAUAAUGUAAUUCGAUAAAAAAAAAAUUCAUAUCAUAAAGUAAUUGAAUUGGAUGAAUAUGUAAUUAUCAUUUUAAUAAUCAUUCAUCAUUUUAUAAGUACAAGGAAUUUUAAUAAAACUUAAAAUUAAAUACUCGUAUAUAGUAUGUUAGUCAAAUAAGUAUUUGACAAUACGAUUAUUAAUGCAAUUUUGUUUAAUUACUCUAAUAUUUCAUAUUUGAUGGGUUAUUCUUUCCUCAAUAUUAG